GUUUAUGGCCACACCACCCUGAGCACGCCCGCUCUCGUCUGAUCUCGGAAGCCAAGCAGGGUCGGGCCUGGUUAGUACUUGGAUGGGAGACCGCCUGGGAAUACCAGGUGCUGUAAGCAU
rnacentral:rRNA from 1 species